rnacentral:rRNA from 1 species
AUUCCAGCUCCAAUAGCGUAUAUUAAAGUUGUUGCGGUUAAAAAGCUCGUAGUUGGAUUUCUGCUGAAACAAACCGGUCCGCCCUCUGGGUGAGCAUCUGGUUUUGUUUUGGCAUAUGCUUAGACUUUGCAGCUGCACUUGACUGUGUGGUGCGAAGGCUGAGCCUUUUACUUUGAGGAAAUCAGAGUGUUUCAAGCAGGCCAUUGCCUUGAAUACACUAGCAUGGAAUAAUAUGAUAUGACUGUGGUUUUAUUUUGUUGGCUUUUAGAAUUAAAGUAAUGGUUAAUAGUGAUAGUUGGGGGCAUUCAUAUUUAACUGUCAGAGGUGAAAUUCUUGGAUUUGUUAAGGAUUAACGACUGCGAAAGCAUUUGCCAAGGAUGCUUUCAUCG